UACGGAGGAUGCGAGCGUUAUCCGGAUUUAUUGGGUUUAAAGGGUGCGCAGGCGGCACGGCAAGCCGGCGGUCAAAUCGCGGGGCUCAACCCCGCCCAGCCGUCGGAACUGCCGGGCUAGAGUGGGCGAGAAGUGCGCGGAAUGCGUGGUGUAGCGGUGAAAUGCAUAGAUAUCACGCAGAACUCCGAUCGCGAAGGCAGCGCACCGGCGCCCUACCGACGCUCAGGCACGAAAGCGUGGGUAUCGAACAGG
rnacentral:rRNA from 1 species